CCUGCCAGUAAUCAUAUGCUUGUCUUAAAGACUAAGCCAUGCAAGUCUAAGGAUAAACUAUUUUAUUCGUAAACCUGCGAACGGCUCAUUAAAUCAGUUAAAAUCUUCUCAGUUAUAUUUUUAUAUGGAUAACUGUAGUAAUUCUAGAGCUAAUACAUGCAAAAAACCCGAACUUCAUUGAACGGGUGUAUUUAUUGUCUCUAAAACUAGUAGCAGCAAUGCUUUUACCCAUGGUGAUGACGGGUAACGGAGAAUUUGGGUUUGAUUCCGGAGAAAAAGCCUGAGAGACGGCUAUUACUUCCAAGGAAGGCAGCAGGCGCGUAAAUUGCCCAAUCCUAAUUUUGGGAGGCAGUGACGAGAAAUACUAGUGUUAGCCACAAUGUGGAUAACUAUUGGAAUGAGAACAACGUAAAUACAUUAACGACUAACAAAUGAAGGGCAAGUCUGGUGCCAGCAGCCGCGGUAAUUCCAGCUUCAUUAGUGUAUAUUAAAGUUGUUGCGGUUAAAAAGCUCGUAGUUGGAUUUCGAACUUAAGAUCUUAUUCUUUAAUUUAUUAGAGGAUUUGAUUCUUUACUUCUACUUAAGUUAUUUAUAACUUAAUGUUUACUGUGAAAAAAUUAGAGUGUUAAAAGCAGGCAUAUUUGCCAGAAUAUUUCAGCAUGGGAUAAUAAAAUAAGACAAUAGUCUAAAUUUUAUUGGUUUCUAAGGCUAAUGUAAUGAUUAAUAGGGACAAUUGGGGUAACUUGUAUUAAUUCGCUAGGGGUGAAAUCCUAUGAUUGAAUUAAGACAAACAACUGCGAAAGCAUUUUACAAGGAUGUUUUCAUUAAUCAAGAACGAAAGUUACAGGAUCGAAGAUGAUCAGAUACCGUCGUAGUUGUAACCAUAAACAAUGUCAACUCAGGAUAAAAAGAUAUUACAUUUGAUGAUUCUUUUUGCACUGUGUGAGAAAUCAAAGUAUCCAGACUCCGGGGGGAGUAUGGUCGCAAGACUGAAACUUAAAGGAAUUGACGGAAGGGCACCACCAGGAGUGG
rnacentral:rRNA from 1 species